UUCAUUUUCGGACUGAUAACAAGAGAAGGCAUCAAAUUGAUUUAAAAGUCGUUGGGUUUCCAUAUUUAACAAACAAAAUCGAGAUAUUCUAUUUUCAGCGUUUCUAGUAUAUAAACAUGUUCUUAGCUAGGAAAGCAGCCUUAAUAACUGGGUCAACCAGUGGGAUUGGACAAGCCACGGCCAAACUUCUGGCAUCCAAGGGAUGCUCCGUUAUUGUAACGGGUUCAAGAUCACCCGAAAACGCCCAAGAACCUUUACAGGACAUUCAAAGCGCGGCUGUUGGUAAUGUACACUACAUUCAAUGUGAUCUCCGGGAGAGUAACAACGUUCUAAAUUUAUGUAAUCAAGCUGACCAGAUAUUCCCCGAGGGAAUCGAUAUCCUUGUAAACAAUGCCGGCGUGCAACAUGUAGGCCCUGUAGAUGAGAUGCCUUUGGAAUUUUGGAACGAAAUUAUACAAGUGAAUUUGACAGUUCCAUUCAUGUUGUGCAAACAUGUAAUUCCAUCUAUGAAGAAAAAAGGUUGGGGAAAAAUCAUUAACAUUUCAUCAGUAUUGGGACUUUUGGCCCAUUGUAAUAAGUCGCCGUAUAUUACAUCAAAGACGGGCCUAGUUGGACUCACGCGGGCUGUUGCUAUGGAUACAGCGGCCUUUGGAAUCACAUGCAAUGCCAUUUGCCCAGCAUGGACCAACACACCACUUGUAGUACCUGAGGCCAAGAUACAUGCUGAAAAAAUGAACAUGUCGCUGGAAGAUGCAAAGAAAGACUUGUUCACAAAAGAUUCACCAUCAGGAAAAGCAACUGAACCAUCACAGAUCGCUGGUAUGGUUCUCUUCUUGUGUUCCCCUGAUGCUGAUAAUAUGACAGGAACCGCCAUUCCCAUGGACGGAGGAGAAACCAUACAUUGAUUUAAUAAUUACUCCGUUUACAUGAUGAAGAUAUAGGGACCACGGUCAGUGUCAACAGUAUUAUAGAAAUCUACACCAUGUCAAAUCAUUAAACUAAAGGCGAUACAAACCCGUGAAAUUCUGUUCGUAUCAACUAAACAUGCAGGGUGAGCUCACGGAUUUCCAACCCGUCAUAAAAAAAAGGAAUAGAUAUGCUGUCAGAACAAUAUACAAGAUGAGAAAGAUCCAGAAGGCCAAAAGGUCUAUUGCAGACGUCACAUCCUUCCAUUCAACUGUGUGGCCUUUCUUAAUUUCUUCCUCGAGCGUUUCCUGAUAAUUGUUAGCUCGAUCGUCCUUCUCUGGCGUGGGAGAAAUCAUCAAAUUCUUUGAAGGUCGACAUGACUUAGAACACCGCAAGCAUUUAUCAACUUUUACCAUUAUUUCAAAUACUUUUGACAAGGGAACUGUCUCAUCUCUGUGAUGCAAACGAAUUUGAAAGGCUGUGAUCACCAACACCAUCACUCCCAUUGUCAUCUGAAGCAAAAUAUAGAUCGUUAGAACAGGAGUACUGUCUGAACUAACUGGCAGCUGGGCACUAAUGAUGGUUAAAAAUACUGCGAAAGACAGGAAGACAGUCAUUGCAUAUGACAUCUUUUCUCCUGCAUCAACGGGCAAGACGAAAACGAGAAUAGUUAGGAGACCCAAGAACAAGAUUGGAGCAAUAAUGUUGAGCACAUAGUAGAGAGGCUUUCUUUUUAUGUGGACUGAAAACGUAACUUUGGAUUCAGCUGAACUUUUGCUAACUUUAGCUUCCGUGUAAGUUAUUUCCCAGACGCCACUCUCCUUAUAGUUGGAAAGAUCGAUCCCUUCUGCAGACUUAAAAAUCUCCACAUCCUGUACUGUAUAACUCCAUACAACGAACACGAUAUCGCACACUUGUUUAUCAUACGGGAAAUACUUCGUAUCGACAGCACAGAGAGUUUGAAAGACCUGGAAAGGUUUCCAGAAUACAUUUCCAUCACUAAGAAUGUCGACGUAGUAGAAGUAUCCUCCAAGCUCUUCAAACUUUUUGAAUCCGUUUCCUAGCACCAGGUCUGGUUUCCAAAUGUCGUUCUGAAAAUAGGGUGGAAGUAUUUUCAACAUUAAAGAGAAUAAAAGUAGUCCAGAUGAUAUGGAGAUUGAUUUACUUAGGCGUUGAAAAGCAAAACUAUUAUGAUUCGGUAUCACGAUGUACAUGUAUAGUACUAAGAUUUUGAACGAUCUGAUGAAUGAAAAGAAGUCUUAAUUUCGCGUAUAAAUAUGAAUUAAAUAUUACCUAUCUCGGUAACCCACUAACAAUUCUUUUCUCUCCCUCUCUUUUAUUUAAAUAUUGUCACAAUUUACGUGUAGAAAACAUAGGUGUUCAAUAUUACCAUUAGUCAUUUAUUUACAUGUAUAAAUAAUCUACAAUCUUGCCGACAAUUCUUUAACUUGACGGUGAAAUUGAAAACAUAUAUGAUUUGAUUUGCACAUAUUUUAUUGUAUAGAUGUAAAACGUAUACGGUACCAAUUUUGAUGUUAUAACAAAAGGAUUGAGCACAUGUUCGUAAAACUUAGAACGCUCUCUCCUAUAUGACAAUUGGUCACAUAAGAUAAUGUUCAAGAAAUGAAACACAAAGGUAUCAAAGGUCAAACGAUGAUUUGCUUUCAUAAAGCAAUUAUAUGAUAAAUCAUAUCUGUUGAUGUGUAUGUACAAUUGAUUAAUAUAUACAUGUAUGUACAAUUGAUUAAUAUAUGCAUGUAGUACGUACAAAGUAAUCGCUUUCAAAAAUUCCAUCAACUCAAAAACGACCAGAACUGAAGAUAGGAAAAUGAGUUUUCAUUAUCUAUGGUACUGAUUGCGUUAUCUCCCCAUAAUAAAACAUGCGUGUCUACUACAUGUAUAUACAAAUUAUCCAUUCUAAAAAUAGCAUUAAAUAGGUCAUUUCUUGGAGCGGUGUAUUUUGCACUUGAGAAAAGGAAAUGGUAAGCAUCUUCUACUUUACCACAAGUAUACAAAGGACUGUCAAUUGUGUUGCAUCUAAAUAAAUCUAUAUUCAAUU